UCUUACAGGAAGAGGACAGUGUCAAAAAGCUGGAUAAGGAUAACGGAAUCAAGAAUCUGUGGAAUUGGCACUGGCUUGAAUUUAAAGUCGGCAAUGAAUAUCUUCGUGAACACAUCCGAAAUACAAAAGAACCA